GACGAACGCUGGCGGCGUGCUUAACACAUGCAAGUCGAACGAAGUGGCGAACGGGUGAGUAACGCGUAAUCAACCUGCCCUUCAGAGGGGGACAACAGUUGGAAACGACUGCUAAUACCGCAUACUGAAGGAGGGGAUUGCGUCUGAUUAGAGAGUUGGAGGGGUAACGGCCCACAAAGGCGAUGAUCAGUAGCCGGUCUGGGAGGGCGACCGUGCACAUUGGGCCUGAGAUACGGCCCAAACUCCUACGGGGGGCAGGAGUGGGGAAUAUUGCACAAUGGGGGAAACUCUGAUGCAGCAACGCCGCGUGCGGGAUGACGGCCUUCGGGUUGUAAACCGCUUUCAGCCAUGACGCGGUAGUGGCAGAAGAAGCACCGGCUAACUACGUGCCAGCAGCCGCGGUAAUUC
rnacentral:rRNA from 1 species